rnacentral:rRNA from 1 species
UACGUAGGGUGCAAGCGUUGUCCGGAAUUAUUGGGCGUAAAGAGCUCGUAGGCGGUCUGUCGCGUCGGAUGUGAAAAUCCAGGGCUCAACCCUGGACCUGCAUUCGAUACGGGCAGACUAGAGUUCGGCAGGGGAGACUGGAAUUCCUGGUGUAGCGGUGAAAUGCGCAGAUAUCAGGAGGAACACCGGUGGCGAAGGCGGGUCUCUGGGCCGAUACUGACGCUGAGGCGCGAAAGCGUGGGUAGCAAACAGG